AACAAUCUUCUCUGGCUGAUGUCCCAAACCCGCGCAAAAAGUGGACAUCUUGUAAACAAACAAUUCGUCUUGUUGGUUGGUUGUGGGCAUGGGUCGGUCCUGUCAAACUUGGAGUCUUACCGAAUUUGGACUUAGUAAUGAAAGAGCCUGUGGGUUAAAGUUGUUAGUUGUUAGUACUAAAUACCAAAUGAAAAGAGUCAUCUUAUGAUGACGGAUGUGUCCAGAGCUCUUCAGUUGGAAGUUGAAUCAUCUCAAAGUUUGCUGUCAUGCAUCCACAUCUCCAUCCAGUAUGCUGUUAAACAUCAUAGUGAUCAACUUGCACCUUGGACCUUGUUGGACUUAAAGAGCGCCUCUGACACCCACCUGGAGAAGUAGAGUGACAAGAGGAGGAGAGAGUGAGACGUAACUUCGUAAAUCUU